rnacentral:rRNA from 1 species
UACAGAGGUCUCAAGCGUUGUUCGGAUUCAUUGGGCGUAAAGGGUGCGUAGGCGGUUCGGUAAGUCAGGUGUGAAAUCUCCACGCUCAACGUGGAGGCGCCACCUGAAACUGCCGUGACUCGAGUCCGGUAGGGGAGUGUGGAAUUCCUGGUGUAGCGGUGAAAUGCGCAGAUAUCAGGAGGAACACCAGUGGCGAAGGCGGCACUCUGGGCCGGUACUGACGCUGAGGAGCGAAAGCGUGGGGAGCGAACAGG